rnacentral:misc_RNA from 1 species
AAGUCGUAACAAGGUUUCCGUAGGUGAACCUGCGGAAGGAUCAUUAUUAAAACAAAACAUAUUUAUAAUUUAUUUAUUAUUUAUAUGUUGGUAUUAAUAAAUACACACAUUUAGAAAUGUAAUUUUUCUUUUUGAAAUUUAAUUUUUAGCAUUUCUAAAUUAUUUAAAAAAUUAAAUAUCAUUAUCGACUGAUUUUAAAAUUUAAUUUUAAAUGAAGUUGAAAAAAAUAUAUAUAAAACGUUUUUGGUCUUACAAAAGAAAAGUCUUAAAAUAACUUUUAACGAUGGAUCUCUUGGCUCCUA